CCUACGGGAGGCAGCAGUGAGGAAUAUUGGUCAAUGGGCGCGAGCCUGAUCCAGCCAAGUAGCGUGAAGGAUGACUGCCCUACGGGUUGUAAACUUCUUUUAUAAAGGAAUAAAGUGAGGCACGUGUGCCUUUUUGUAUGUACUUUAUGAAUAAGGAUCGGCUAACUCCGUGCCAGCAGCCGCGGUAAUACGGAGGAUCCGAGCGUUAUCCGGAUUUAUUGGGUUUAAAGGGAGCGUAGAUGGGUUGUUAAGUCAGUUGUGAAAGUUUGCGGCUCAACCGUAAAAUUGCAAUUGAUACUGGCAGUCUUGAGUACAGUUGAGGUAGGCGGAAUUCGUGGUGUAGCGGUGAAAUGCUUAGAUAUCACGAGGAACUCCGGUGGCGAAGGCAGCUUACUAAACUGCCACUGACAUUGAUGCUCGAAAGUGUGGGUAUCAAACAGGAUUAGAUACCCCGGUAGUC
rnacentral:rRNA from 1 species